rnacentral:rRNA from 1 species
GCAACUCGGCUGCAUGAAGCUGGAAUCGCUAGUAAUCGCGGAUCAGAACGCCGCGGUGAAUGCGUUCCCGGGUCUUGUACACACCGCCCGUCACACCAUGGGAGCCGGAAACGCCCGAAGCCAGCGGCCUAACCGCAAGGAGGGAGCUGUCGAAGGCGGGGCCGGUGACCGGGGUGAAGUCGUAACAAGGUACC